rnacentral:rRNA from 1 species
AACGCGAAGAACCUUACCAGGGUUUGACAUCCUGUGCUCACUCCAGAGAUGGAGUUUCCCCGCAAGGGGCGCAGAGACAGGUGCUGCAUGGCUGUCGUCAGCUCGUGUCGUGAGAUGUUGGGUUAAGUCCCGCAACGAGCGCAACCCUUACUCGUAGUUGCUACCCGCAAGGGAGAACUCUACGAGGACUGCUCCGGAUAACGGAGAGGAAGGUGGGGAUGACGUCAAGUCAGCACGGCCUUUAUGUCCAGGGCUACACACGUGUUACAAUGCAUGGUACAGACUGUUGCGAACCCGCGAGGGGGAGCUAAUCGGACAAAACCAUGCUCAGUUCGGAUUGCAGUCUGCAACUCGGCUGCAUGAAGCUGGAAUCGCUAGUAAUGGCGUAUCAGAUCGACGCCGUGAAUACGUUCCCGGGCCUUGUACACACCGAGUAUA